rnacentral:rRNA from 1 species
UAUUAUACUAAAUUGAUAAAUUAAAGUUAAAAUAUUAUAAGAUAAAUUCUUUAAAUUUAAAGAAUUUGGCGGUAAUUUAGUCUUUCCAGAGGAACCUGUUUUAUAAUCGAUAAACCACGAAUAAUCUUACUUAUUAACGUUAAUAAAUUUCAAGUUUGUAUACCGUCAUUAUUAGAUAAUAUUUAGAGAAAAUUAUUAAAUUUUAAAUAAUAAAAUAAAUUAGAUCAAGGUGCAGCCUAUAAAUAAGUUAAAAUGGGUUACAAUUAAAUAAAUAUAAUAUGGAGUAAAUUUUGAAAUAAAUUUAUGAAGGAGGAUUUGGUUGUAAUAAGAAUUAAUACGAUAAAAAGAUAUAAGCUCUAAAUUAU